rnacentral:tRNA from 1 species
GCUCUUGUCGUUCAACGGAUAGGACACCAGUUUGCGGAACUGGCAAUGCAGGUUCGAUUCCUGCCGAGAGCACCA